GACAGAGGGUGCAAACGUUGUUCGGAAUUACUGGGCGUAAAGAGCACGCAGGCGGUUUGGCAAGUCGGAUGUGAAAACCCGAAGCUCAACUUCGGGCCUGCAUCCGAAACUGCCCGACUAGAGGUAGGUAGGGGAGAUCGGAAUUCCAGGUGUAGCGGUGAAAUGCGUAGAUAUCUGGAGGAACACCGGUGGCGAAGGCGGCAUUCUGGACCGACAUUGACGCUGAGGAGCGAAAGCCAGGGGAGCAAACGGG
rnacentral:rRNA from 1 species